UGGGGAAUUUUGGACAAUGGGGGAAACCCUGAUCCAGCCAUCCCGCGUGUGCGAUGAAGGCCUUCGGGUUGUAAAGCACUUUUGGCAGGAAAGAAACGUCAUGGGUUAAUACCCCGUGAAACUGACGGUACCUGCAGAAUAAGCACCGGCUAUCUACGUGCCAGCAGCCGCGGUAAUACGUAGGGUGCAAGCGUUAAUCGGAAUUACUGGGCGUAAAGCGUGCGCAGGCGGUUCGGAAAGAGAGAUGUGAAAUCCCAGGGCUCAACUUUGGAACUGCAUUUUUAACUACCGGGCUUGAGUGUGUCAGAGGGAGGAGGAAUGCCGCGUGUAGGAGUGAAAUGGGUAGAUAUGCGGAGGAACACCGAUGGCGAAGGCAGCCUCCUGGGAUAACACUGACGCUCAUGCACGAAAGCGUGGGGAGCAAACAGG
rnacentral:rRNA from 1 species